rnacentral:snoRNA from 1 species
AUCUUUUUUAAUAUGAUGAAAUACCAAUGCAACAUAGAGUCAAGCUCUGAGCCAUAAAAUACUUGGCAUGGACGAGACUUGCUAUUUUAUUAACUGACUAAUUAGAA